rnacentral:rRNA from 1 species
GCUUGCUUGUUGGGGUUGUAGGACACUCUAUACGGAGUUACAAAGGACGACAUUAGACGAAUCAUCUGGAAAGAUGAAUCAAAGAAGGUAAUAAUCCUGUAGUCGAAAAUGUUGUCUCUCUUGAGUGGAUCCUGAGUACGACGGAGCACGUGAAAUUCCGUCGGAAUCUGGGAGGACCAUCUCCUAAGGCUAAAUACUCUCUAGUGACCGAUAGUGAACCAGUACCGUGAGGGAAAGGUGAAAAGCACCCCGGAAGGGGAGUGAAAUAGAACCUGAAACCGUGUGCUUACAAGUAGUCAGAGCCCGUUAAUGGGUGAUGGCGUGCCUUUUGUAGAAUGAACCGGCGAGUUACGAUUUGAUGCAAGGUUAAGCAGUAAAUGUGGAGCCGUAGCGAAAGCGAGUCUGAAUAGGGCGUUUAGUAUUUGGUCGUAGACCCGAAACCAGGUGAUCUACCCUUGGUCAGGUUGAAGUUCAGGUAACACUGAAUGGAGGACCGAACCGACUUACGUUGAAAAGUGAGCGGAUGAACUGAGGGUAGCGGAGAAAUUCCAAUCGAACCUGGAGAUAGCUGGUUCUCUCCGAAAUAGCUUUAGGGCUAGCCUCAAGUGAUGAUUAUUGGAGGUAGAGCACUGUUUGGACGAGGGGCCCCUCUCGGGUUACCGAAUUCAGACAAACUCCGAAUGCCAAUUAAUUUAACUUGGGAGUCAGAACAUGGGUGAUAAGGUCCGUGUUCGAAAGGGAAACAGCCCAGACCACCAGCUAAGGUCCCAAAAUAUAUGUUAAGUGGAAAAGGAUGUGGCGUUGCCCAGACAACUAGGAUGUUGGCUUAGAAGCAGCCAUCAUUUAAAGAGUGCGUAAUAGCUCACUAGUCGAGUGACACUGCGCCGAAAAUGUACCGGGGCUAAACAUAUUACCGAAGCUGUGGAUUGUCCUUUGGACAAUGGUAGGAGAGCGUUCUAAGGGCGUUGAAGCAUGAUCGUAAGGACAUGUGGAGCGCUUAGAAGUGAGAAUGCCGGUGUGAGUAGCGAAAGACGGGUGAGAAUCCCGUCCACCGAUUGACUAAGGUUUCCAGAGGAAGGCUCGUCCGCUCUGGGUUAGUCGGGUCCUAAGCUGAGGCCGACAGGCGUAGGCGAUGGAUAACAGGUUGAUAUUCCUGUACCACCUAUAAUCGUUUUAAUCGAUGGGGGGACGCAGUAGGAUAGGCGAAGCGUGCGAUUGGAUUGCACGUCUAAGCAGUAAGGCUGAGUAUUAGGCAAAUCCGGUACUCGUUAAGGCUGAGCUGUGAUGGGGA